GGGUUGAGCGGCAUGGAUGCCGCGAGAGGCGCGCGGGGCCAUGGAUGGCCCCUCGCGCCGUACCC
rfam:Pseudomonas resinovorans NBRC 106553 DNA, complete geonome.